UUGAACGCUGGCGGCGUGGCUAAAACAUGCAAGUCCGGGAAACCCGCAAGGGAAAACCGGCGCAAGGGUGAGGAAUACAUUCGAACGUGCCCCAAGGUGGGGGAUAGGCGUGGGAAACUGCGCGUAAUACCCCAUGUGCUCUUCGGAGGAAAGCUUCGGCGCCUCGGGAGCGGCGAAUGUCCUAUCAGGUAGUUGGCGGGGUAAUGGCCCACCAAGCCGAAGACGGGUAGCAGGUAUGAGAGUACGGCCUGCCACAUCGGGACUGAGACACUGCCCGGACUCCUACGGGAGGCUGCAGUAACGAAUAUUCCGCAAUGGGCGCAAGCCUGACGGAGCGACGCCGCGUGCAGGAUGAAGCGGCUUUGCCGUGUAAACUGCUGUCAGGGGCUACUAACACUGAAGAGCCCCAGAGGAAGGGCCGGCUAAUCCUGU
rnacentral:rRNA from 1 species